rnacentral:rRNA from 1 species
AACGAACGCUGGCGGCAUGCCUAACACAUGCAAGUCGAACGAGACCUUCGGGUCUAGUGGCGCACGGGUGCGUAACGCGUGGGAACCUGCCCUUAGGUUCGGAAUAACUCCCCGAAAGGGGUGCUAAUACCGGAUAAUGUCUUCGGACCAAAGAUUUAUCGCCUUUGGAUGGGCCCGCGUUGGAUUAGCUAGUUGGUAGGGUAAAAGCCUACCAAGGCGACGAUCCAUAGCUGGUCUGAGAGGAUGAUCAGCCACACUGGGACUGAGACACGGCCCAGACUCAUACGGGAGGCAGCAGUGGGGAAUAUUGGACAAUGGGCGAAGGCCUGAUCCAGCAAUGCCGCGUGAGUGAUGAAGGCCGUGGGGUUGUAAAGCUCUUUUACCCGGGAUGAUAAUGACAGUACCGGGAGAAUAAGCUCCGGCUAACUCCGUG